ensembl:lncRNA
UUAUACAUUUCAAAGCAAAACAUCUUCAAAGACAGGUGCCUCCAACCGAACUCGCAUCAUCCCCUACACAGACCUCAAUGACGGAGUAAGAAGAGCUGCUGCAAGUAGCUGUCAGCCCCAAAUACAAAACGCUGCUUCAAAGGACCACGUGAGAAUCCAGAGCUUACAGACCAAGCCAGGCAGCCGCUCGCCACGUUGCAGCUCGCUGGAACAGCCAGUGAUGAACCCGUGAGUACGGUGAUUUGCAGGAAUUACACAAGCUGGGCGGCCCCAGCAAUGCAGACACCAAGCACACUGCAGACCCCGACCACAGCUGGCAACAGAUGCGGGGCAGCGGACACCUCCACCCAUGUAUUUGUUGUUCUUUCAAACAGAUGUUGUGUUGUGGUGCAGAGAGAAGGAAGCUGCGUGUCUUUCUGCU